rnacentral:rRNA from 1 species
AACGAACGCUGGCGGCAUGCCUAACACAUGCAAGUCGAACGAGAUCUUCGGGUCUAGUGGCGCACGGGUGCGUAACGCGUGGGAAUCUGCCCUUUGGUUAGGAAUAACAGGUGGAAACGACUGCUAAUACCGGAUGAUGACGAAAGUCCAAAGAUUUAUCGCCAGAGGAUGAGCCCGCGUAGGAUUAGCUAGUUGGUGUGGUAAAGGCGCACCAAGGAGACGAUCCUUAGCUGGUCUGAGAGGAUGAUCAGCCACACUGGGACUGAGACACGGCCCAGACUCCUACGGGAGGCAGAAGUGGGGAAUAUUGGACAAUGGGCGAAAGCCUGAUCCAGCAAUGCCGCGUGAGUGAUGAAGGCCUUAGGGUUGUAAAGCUCUUUUACCCGGGAUGAUAAUGACAGUACCGGGAGAAUAAGCUCCGGCUAACUCCGUGCCAGCAGCCGCAGUAA